CUCACAGGCUCGCAGUGGAAUCUGCAUGGAAGUGUUAGCGAGACCAAUGCAACCCAUUGUGACUUCGGAUUGCCCAGCAGGAGCAACCCAAAGGUCUGAGAGGAAUUUCCUCUUUCCUCAGGGCUCCUGGAGCUUAUAUAUGCCGGUGAGGAGAGGAACGAAAACUUUCCCGCACCCCGAGUGGUGUUGAAUGCUUGGUUUGUGCACUUCCAAGUCACAGAUACGUGAAGCAGUUUUGAAAUUCUCCAAUAGUACCAAGUUUCCCUGGGAGGAGGUGAAAACAUAACCCCAAAUUCAGUGCUGACUUCUAGUUUGGGAAAGAGAGAGGUGGACCUGAUAUUUACAAUCGUUCAGAGCGCUUGCAGAUCCGUGGAUGACAGACCUUCAAUUUUAGCUAUUUUUGGCCUCCUCUGUAACCUUUUUGCCUUUCCCAGGUACUUCCCAGCACCUUGUAGCUAUUAGGCGAGCAAGAAAAAAAAAAAAAAAAAAGAAAAAAAAAAAAAGGAGUUUAAAGGACAACAAUCUAAUCCUUUCCAGCGCAUGUAUCUGUCUCAUUAAAGCAUUCUCCUGGAGCGGUGUAAUGAUACAUCAAAUGGAAUCCAUUUCAAGGGCACUGCCAAUGUUCCAGGGACUGAGAUUCCUCAGGACACGACAAAAGUAAUCUCUGCUGCUGAUGGUGAUGGAAGAAGAGAGUGCCAAUAAGUUGAGCAGCAGAGUGGAGCACCUCAAGGAGACCAGGAAGCAGGAGGAGGAAGGAAAAGAAAAAGAUAAAAGCGCGGCACAUGAUGUGUUAUCUCUCAGCUGGCCUGCCAACCCAAAAUUAAAUCCUGUUGGUUUAACUUGUUGACUUUACAGGAAAACAAGGCAAUAAAAUGAAACUUCUCCUAAUAAAACCCACUAUGAUUUGCAAGAGGAAAAUGUAGCUGGAAGAUCAUAUGUACUUUAGACAUCUGAACUGGAAA